AGCGAACGCUGGCGGCAGGCUUAGCACAUGCAAGUCGAGCGGGCGUAGCAAUACGUCAGCGGCAGACGGGUGAGUAACGCGUGGGAACGUACCUUUUGGUUCGGAACAACACAGGGAAACUUGUGCUAAUACCGGAUAAGCCCUUACGGGGAAAGAUUUAUCGCCGAAAGAUCGGCCCGCGUCUGAUUAGCUAGUUGGUGAGGUAACGGCUCACCAAGGCGACGAUCAGUAGCUGGUCUGAGAGGAUGAUCAGCCACAUUGGGACUGAGACACGGCCCAAACUCCUACGGGAGGCAGCAGUGGGGAAUAUUGGACAAUGGGGGCAACCCUGAUCCAGCCAUGCCGCGUGAGUGAUGAAGGCCCUAGGGUUGUAAAGCUCUUUUGUGCGGGAAGAUAAUGACGGUACCGCAAGAAUAAGCCCCGGCUAACUUCGUG
rnacentral:rRNA from 1 species